rnacentral:misc_RNA from 1 species
GAUGAAGAACGCAGCGAAAUGCGAUACGUAAUGUGAAUUGCAGAAUUCAGUGAAUCAUCAAGUCUUUGAACGCACAUUGCGCCCCCUGGUACUCCGGGGGGCAUGCCUGUCCGAGCGUCAUUGCUGCCCUCAAGCACGGCUUGUGUGUUGGGCCUCCGUCCUCCUCCCGGGGGACGGGCCCGAAAGGCAGCGGCGGCACCGCGUCCGGUCCUCGAGCGUAUGGGGCUUCGUCACCCGCUCUUGUAGGCCCGGCCGGCGCUUGCCGACACAUCAAUCUUUUUUCCAGGUUGACCUCGGAUCAGGUAGGGAUACCCGCUGAACUUAAGCAUAUCAAUAAGCGGAGGA